rnacentral:rRNA from 1 species
AGUCAAAGCUCGUUAAUGAGUGAUGGCGUGCCUUUUGUAGAAUGAACCGGCGAGUUACGAUUGCAUGCGAGGUUAAGUCGAAGAGACGGAGCCGCAGCGAAAGCGAGUCUGAAUAGGGCGAAUGAGUAUGUAGUCGUAGACCCGAAACCAUGUGAUCUACCCAUGUCCAGGUUGAAGGUGCGGUAAAACGCACUGGAGGACCGAACCCACGUACGUUGAAAAGUGCGGGGAUGAGGUGUGGGUAGCGGAGAAAUUCCAAACGAACUUGGAGAUAGCUGGUUCUCUCCGAAAUAGCUUUAGGGCUAGCCUCGGAAUUGAGAAUGAUGGAGGUAGAGCACUGUUUGGACUAGGGGCCCAUCUCGGGUUACCGAAUUCAGAUAAACUCCGAAUGCCAUUCAUUUAUAUCCGGGAGUCAGACUGCGAGUGAUAAGAUCCGUAGUCGAAAGGGAAACAGCCCAGACCACCAGCUAAGGUCCCAAAAUAUAUGUUAAGUGGAAAAGGAUGUGGGGUUGCACAGACAACUAGGAUGUUGGCUUAGAAGCAGCCACCAUUUAAAGAGUGCGUAAUAGCUCACUAGUCGAGUGACCCUGCGCCGAAAAUGUACCGGGGCUAAACAUAUUACCGAAGCUGUGGACUACACCAUUAGGUGUAGUGGUAGGAGAGCGUUCUAAGGGCGUUGAAGGUCGAUCGUGAGGACGGCUGGAGCGCUUAGAAGUGAGAAUGCCGGUAUGAGUAGCGAA